rnacentral:rRNA from 1 species
AACGAACGCUGGCGGCCGGCUCAACACAUGCAAGUCGAGCGCCCCGCAAUGGGAGCGGCAGACGGGUGAGUAACGCGUGGGAAUCUACCCAUCUCUACGGAAUAACGCAUGGAAACGUGUUCCAAUACCGUAUACGUCCGUCGGGAGCAAGAUUUAUCGGAGAUGGAUGAGCCCGCGUUGGAUUAGCUAGUUGGUGGGGUAAAGGCCUACCAAGGCGACGAUCCAUAGCUGGUCUGAGAGGAUGAUCAGCCACACUGGGACUGAGACACGGCCCAGACUCCUACGGGAGGCAGCAGUGGGGAAUAUUGGACAAUGGGCGCAAGCCUGAUCCAGCCAUGCCGCGUGAGUGAUGAAGGCCCUAGGGUUGUAAAGCUCUUUCACCGGUGAAGAUAAUGACGGUAACCGGAGAAGAAGCCCCGGCUAACUUCGUGCCAGCCGCCGCGGUAAAAC